GGUACAGCACCAGCAGAGUUAGUCCUCUUGGUACUGCUCCUCAGAGGGUUUAACUGGGUGAAUGGUGACAACUGUACAGCUCGCUAAUAUCCUACCUGAGCAACUUCAUGUCCAUCGCUGCUGAUCCCUCUACAGACAGGGAGAGAGAGAGCAAAAAUACCAUCUGGGAAUGCCAAGUGUACAGCAAGAGAUCUUACCUGCUGGCAAAUGCCUCCUGGCUGGAGAAAUCAGGCAGAAGAGCCCAAGAGGACAACUGUGGCAGCUACAGAGGCUGGAGUUAUGGGGCAGCUGCUGCUAAGAGAUGACUGUGCUCUGUCGGUUCGGAGUGGGAAUAUUGAAGUGGCAGAAAAGAGAAUCAGCAGUGUUACAAGAGACCUCUGACUGCGGACAUGCAUGGGACUUCAGGUUCUCCAUUGCUAAAGCCAAAGGGUUGGUCUUUACCAAAAGGAAAGUUACAAAGGAAUGUAAACUGCAUCUGUAUGGAGAACAAAUAGACCUCGUUAAAAGAUAAACCCAGGCUCAGGGUGUUUAAUUCAGGAAAAGUCUACAUUCACAUGUCCAGGGCUGGAAUUUCCCAGAGGAACGGGAAUAAUGCUGCUUUGGAGUGAACAGCAGGAGAAAGCCAACACGGGAGAACCUAAACCUUCACUGUGGGAAAGUCCCAGUCCAGGGAGAUGAUGGAAUCCUUCUGCUUGAGGCUGGGCAAAGCACUCCUGGUUCUAUAGCAAAGUGCCCAAUCCAGCUCCUAUUGGGAGUCUCUUCUUUGACUUUAUUGGAAGUUGGAUUGGGACCUAGCACGUCUUUCUAAAACAUGCUCGACCCCAAGUGAUUGGGCUCAAUGCAGGAGGUACUGAGUGAGAUUCUGUGGCCUGUGUUAUGC